rnacentral:rRNA from 1 species
GACGAACGCUGGCGGCGUGCUUAACACAUGCAAGUCGAACGGAAAGGACCUGCUUUUGUGGGGUGCUCGAGUGGCGAACGGGUGAGUAACACGUGAGUAACCUGCCCUUGAUUUUGGGAUAACUUCAGGAAACUGGGGCUAAUACCGGAUAGGAGCUCCUGCUGCAUGGUGGGGGUUGGAAAGUUUCGGCGGUUGGGGAUGUACUCGCGGCUUAUCAGCUUGUUGGUGGGGUAGUGGCUUACCAAGGCUUUGACGGGUAGCCGGUCUGAGAGGGUGACCGGCCAGAUUGGGACUGAGAUACGGCCCAGACGCCUACGGGAGGCAGCAGUGGGGAAUAGUGCACAAUGGGAUGAAGCCUGAUGCAGCAACGCCGCGUGCGGGAUGGCGGCCUUCGGGUUGUAAACCGCUUUCGCCUGUGACGAAGCGUGUGUGACGGUAAUGGGUAAAGAAGCACCGGCUAACUACGUG